rnacentral:rRNA from 1 species
AGUGAACGCUGGCGGCGUGCCUAAUACAUGCAAGUCGAACGGAGAGGCUCACGGGUGAGUCAUGUAUAGCUAAUCUGCCCUACACUAGAGGACAACAGUUGGAAACGACUGCUAAUACUCUAUAGUGUAGGAUGAGGCUAUAUUGUAUCAACUAGUUGGUGAGGUAAUGGCUCACACAGGCUAUGACGCAUAACUGGUCUGAGAGGAUGAUCAGUCACCCUGGAACUGAGACACGGUCGAGACUCCUUCGGGAGGCAGCAGUAGGGAAGAUUGCUCAAUGGGGGAAACCCUGAAGCAGCAACGCCGCGUGGAGGAUGACACUUUUCGGAGCGUAAACUCCUUUUGUUAGGGAAGCGUUACCUAACGAAUAAGCACCGGCUAACUCCGUGCCAGCAGCCGCGGUAAUAC